CAAUAGCGUAUAUUAAAGUUGUUGCGGUUAAAAAGCUCGUAGUUGGAUUUCUGCUGAGAACGACCGGUCCGCCCUCUGGGUGUGUAUCUGGCUCUUUCUUGGCAUCUUCUUGGUGAACGUUGCUGCACUUGACUGUGUGGAGCGCUACCCAGGACUUUUACUUUGAGGAAAUUAGAGUGUUUCAAGCAGGCAUACGCCUUGAAUACAUUAGCAUGGAAUAAUAAGAUAGGACCUCGGUUCUAUUUUGUUGGUUUCUAGAGCUGAGGUAAUGAUUAAUAGGGAUAGUUGGGGGCAUUCGUAUUUAACUGUCAGAGGUGAAAUUCUUGGAUUUGUUAAAGACGGACUACCGCGAAAGCAUUUGCCAAGGAUGUUUUCAUUGA
rnacentral:rRNA from 1 species